rnacentral:rRNA from 1 species
UACGAAGGGGGCUAGCGUCGCUCGGAAUUACUGGGCGUAAAGCGCACGUAGGCGGUCUUUUAAGUCGGGGGUGAAAUCCUGGAGCUCAACUCCAGAACUGCCUUCGAUACUGGAAGACUUGAGUCCGGGAGAGGUGAGUGGAACUGCGAGUGUAGAGGUGAAAUUCGUAGAUAUUCGCAAGAACACCAGUGGCGAAGGCGGCUCACUGGCCCGGUACUGACGCUGAGGUGCGAAAGCGUGGGGAGCAAACAGG